UACGUAGGGGGCGAGCGUUGUCCGGAUUUAUUGGGCGUAAAGAGCGUGUAGGCGGCCUGGCAGGUCUGCUGUGAAAACUCGAGGCUCAACCUCGAGAUGUCGGCGGAAACCGUCUGGCUAGAGUCCGGAAGAGGAGAGUGGAAUUCCUGGUGUAGCGGUGAAAUGCGCAGAUAUCAGGAAGAACACCCGUGGCGAAGGCGGCUCUCUGGGACGGUACUGACGCUGAGACGCGAAAGCGUGGGGAGCGAACAGG
rnacentral:rRNA from 1 species